rnacentral:tRNA from 1 species
GCCGGAGUAGCUCAGCUGGAAGAGCAACGGAUUUGUAAUCCGUGGGCCGCGGGUUCGAGUCCCGCCUCCGGCU